UAAUAUCAGCAUGCAGUCGAACCUGCUCAAAUAUUUCGAGCACUAUAAUAUACACUUGACGGUAUUCACCGUGGAAAUGAACGGAGUAGUUUUUCUUGAAAAAGUUUUCCGACCAUCUCGUUCACAAUAAACUGUCGACGGUUUAGCUGACCGGGAUUCGUAAACCUACCUAUAUAUUUUAUUAUGUUAUACAGGAUAGCGAUGGUAAUUCCAUAAAAUAUGUGAACGACGGAUAAGCAUAAU